UUUUAGCCCUGAUGGGAACGGCAUCCUUUUGCAGCGGGGUUCGCUGCAAAAGAUAUAGUGGACAGCAGGAUUAGCU
rnacentral:sRNA from 1 species